rnacentral:rRNA from 1 species
AAAUAAGAUACCCCGGUAGUCCACGCCGUAAAACGAUGAGUGCUAAGUGUUAGAGGGUUUCCGCCCUUUAGUGCUGAAGUUAACGCAUUAAGCACUCCGCCUGGGGAGUACGGCCGCAAGGCUGAAACUCAAAGGAAUUGACGGGGGCCCGCACAAGCGGUGGAGCAUGUGGUUUAAUUCGAAGCAACGCGAAGAACCUUACCAGGUCUUGACAUCCUCUGACAACCCUAGAGAUAGGGCUUCUCCUUCGGGAGCAGAGUGACAGGUGGUGCAUGGUUGUCGUCAGCUCGUGUCGUGAGAUGUUGGGUUAAGUCCCGCAACGAGCGCAACCCUUGAUCUUAGUUGCCAUCAUUCAGUUGGGCACUCUAAGGUGACUGCCGGUGACAAACCGGAGGAAGGUGGGGAUGACGUCAAAUCAUCAUGCCCCUUAUGGACCUGGGCUACACACGUGCUACAAUGGAACGGUACAAAGAGCUGCAAGACCGCGAGGUGGAGCUAAUCUCAUAAAAACCCGUUCUCGAGUUCGGAUUGGUACGGCUGUACC